AGAGUUUGAUCCUGGCUCAGGAUGAACGCUGACAGAAUGCUUAACACAUGCAAGUCAACUUGAACUUCGGUUUGGGUGGCGGACGGGUGAGUAACGCGUAAAGAACUUGCCUCACAGAUAGGGACAACAUUUGGAAACGAAUGCUAAUACCUGAUAUUAUGAUUUUAGGGCAUCCUAGGAUUAUGAAAGCUAUAUGCGCUGUGAGAGAGCUUUGCGUCCCAUUAGCUAGUUGGAGAGGUAACGGCUCACCAAGGCGAUGAUGGGUAGCCGGCCUGAGAGGGUGAUCGGCCACAAGGGGACUGAGACACGGCCCUUACUCCUACGGGAGGCAGCAGUGGGGAAUAUUGGACAAUGGACCAAGAGUCUGAUCCAGCAAUUCUGUGUGCACGAUGAAGUUUUUCGGAAUGUAAAGUGCUUUCAGUUGGGAAGAAAAAAAUGACGGUACCAACAGAAGAAGUGACGGCUAAAUACGUGCCAGCAGCCGCGGUAAUACGUAUGUCACGAGCGUUAUCCGGAUUUAUUGGGCGUAAAGCGCGUCUAGGUGGUUAUGUAAGUCUGAUGUGAAAAUGCAGGGCUCAACUCUGUAUUGCGUUGGAAACUGUGUAACUAGAGUACUGGAGAGGUAAGCGGAACUACAAGUGUAGAGGUGAAAUUCGUAGAUAUUUGUAGGAAUGCCGAUGGGGAAGCCAGCUUACUGGACAGAUACUGACGCUGAAGCGCGAAAGCGUGGGUAGCAAACAGGAUUAGAUACCCUGGUAGUCCACGCC
rnacentral:rRNA from 1 species